rnacentral:lncRNA from 1 species
GCAGAAACCACCAUGGCACACGUCUACCUGUGUAACAAACCUGAACAUCCUGCACAUGUACCCCAGAACUUAAAAAUUAAAAAAUAAAAUAUAAUUCAAGAUAUGACAGGAAUUUCCCCUAAGCUGAAGCAAGACUUGUUUCUUUAGAAUCUAAAGGCAAACUGCACCUGCAGACUGUUCACCUGCUUUUAUAAAUAAAGUUUUUAUUGUAAUGUAAAAAAAACACAAACAAAAACAAACAAACAAAAAACCUUUGGAAUGAUCUGCUUUCCCCAAGACUGGUUUUAUUGCCACCUUGAUAGAACAUGCUAUCAUGAAAUGCAGUAGUUACCUUAGGAUUGUUGUUUCUGCUGUUAAUACUCACAAGUACUUAUAAAGUGGGGCAAUUCUUUUUUAAUAAGCAUGAUGAUUUUGUUUUAAUUUGCCAUUAUUGCAAGAAAGCCUUGUGAAGAGUUUUGGUUGGAAGCCGAAUCAGCAUUCUUAUUCCUUUCCCAUAACUCCUAUUCAUAGGAUCUGAAAUCUUUUUAAAAACUCAAAUUGGCUAGAAAAUUAUUGUUAAAAAUAGACACAAAUAUUGCAUCUGUGUUAAACCACUGGUUGUUAUCCUGGGCUUGUAUCACCAGUCUCACUGAAGAACUCACUGACAAAGUAAUAUCCAUUACAUAUAGUAAAACGGUAUUUCUAUUUAGUAAAUCCCACUAUUAUCACUGGUGUAGUACAAAUUUUAACCAAAUCUUACUAGAUUUUAGUGCCAUGGCUGCGCGCGCGCGCGCACACACACACACACACACUGUAUUGGAGGUUUUGAUUUAUAUUUUAUUUUAAUUGAAUAGAUUGUUCAAGUGAAUUUUCAUCUAGAAAAGGGUUAAUGUGAUGGACACUCGGUAAUGUCCAGGGGUAUUGAAACUUUCUGUAACCCAAAUUAAAUUUGAUUUAAAUUAGAUGUAUGCUGGAAAGAAUUUUUAGAGUGGAGCUAAGUGUUGCAAUAUCACCACCUCUGCAGAAAAGACCACAGUUUAAAUUUUUUCAUUAAAUUAUUCGGUUUGUUGCGGGAAGGAGCAAAACCUAGAUACUGAUGGCUGAGUGUACGGAGUUUAGUGCAAGGUUUCUUGUGCCGGCAGAAGCACUGGGGCAGAUUCAGUCCACCUGGGUAACUGUAGCGGCUCCUUGCCUACAGCUCCGUUGUUCAGGCAGCUUGUUCCAUGUCAACACCUGCUCAUUAGGAACUGGACCAAGACUCCCAGAGAGCUCUCCGUGGCCCUGGUUUUGUAUCCCUGCCAAUCUGAACUAGAAUUUAAUAACAACCUUGAGGUGAAACUUGGGCCUUUCCUCAUUGCUAAUCCCCAAAACCAUCUGGCCCUUCCCUUUCUCUGAAUAACAAUUUUGUGCAUGCGUGGUGGGAGGGAGGAGGAUGGGGUGAGAGAAGGGGAACAAACAUCUUACAUUUCUUAAAGGACAAAGUAUUCACUUUCGGUGUAGUUAGUUUCUUUUAGAUCACAGACCUGAGCUCAUUCUUUCCAUAGCUUCCACAUCUUUAAUGCCAGAUAAUUGUUUAAAAUUUGCACCACUCAUUAACUGUUGACAAACCUCCAAGUUUGGUUUUUUUUGAUGAAAUAAUGCCAAAAUGAAGCCUGUAAGUCUGUAAUCAUGAUUCUGAUUUUUAAAAAGAUUAUGCAUUUUCUGUUUAAUUUUCACUGGGUUUAGUACAGUAUUACAUACAUAGGAGAUACCCCAUAAAUAUCUGUGUAUUCCUUUGUGUUGCCCUAUAAGUAAUUGAAGUAAUUUAUGUGCUCUACAAAGUAAUUGAAGAUAUGUAUAGUGUAUGAUAGGAAAUUACAUUUAAAAUACAAAGCAUCAGAACUUCCUAUGCCCUCUUCCCACCCUAAGGGAGGAACCGGACAUAGUGAACCAGAUAUCCUAUGCAUUGCAUACACAGCAUCAUGUUUAUGAUACUGUUGGAGGUUCACCCAGGGAAGAUGCCCAUUGAGUGAAUGCCAUAUGCAAUCACCUGUACUACUUAAAAUUGUUUUCUUAUGCUUGCUGAGCAUUUGUUGAGUUUGGGUGUCUUAAAUAAUGUAUAGGAUUAUGCUGCUUCCUUAAAGGAGGUACCCAAUAAAUAUUUGUUAAAUGAGUGAAUUAAAGGAAUGUUAUCUGUGUGGACCUGGUAUAGAAAAUGUGCAUAGCAACAUAUGUUUUUCCAUCACUGACAUGUUGGCUAUCAUGUUCAAAUCCAAAGGACAAAUUUUCAUGGGAUUUAUGUAAAUACACACAUCCACACAUGUAUACAUACAUGUAUGCACAUGUACCUAUGUGUAUAGGCAUACAGGUAUGCACAUAUACAUGAAUGUACACAUAAAAAUUCCAAGCACCAAGUUUUGACCAUGCUGUCCAUUCGCCCUUUCCUAAAGACCCUCAGAAUGAUGUUAUUAACAGUGUGAUACCUCAGACAAGCAGUCAGCAAAUAGGCCUGCAGGCCAGAUCCAGCCUUAUUUUGAUAUAGCCUGAAAGCUAAGAAUGUUAUUUACACUUUAAAUGGUUAGAAACAAAUUAAGAAGAAGUAUAUUUGGUAAUACCUGAAAGCUAUAUGAAAUUCAAAUUUCAGUGUCCAUAAAUAAAGUUUUAUUAGAUUAGAGAGACACUUUGACACCCUUACAUAUUGUCUCUGGUUGCUUUUUCACAGAGUCCAUUAGGUGCAACAGAGACCAAACAGCCUUCAGAGCCUGAAAUAUUUACCCUCUGGCCCUUUACAAAAAUGUUUGCUGACUCCUGCCUUAGAAGAUACAAAAGAUGGCCGGGCGCGGUGGCUCAAGCCUGUAAUCCCAGCACUUUGGGAGGCCGAGACGGGCGGAUCACGAGUUCAGGAGAUCGAGACCAUCCUGGCUAACACGGUGAAACCCCGUCUCUACUAAAAUACAAAAAAAAUUAGCCGGGCGAGGUGGCGGGCGCCUGUACUCCCAGCUACUCGGGAGGCUGAGGCAGGAGAAUGGCGUGAACCCGGGAGGUGGGGCUUGCAGUGAGCUGAGAUCCGGCCACUGCACUCCAGCCUGGGCAACAGAGCUAGACUCUGUCUCAAAAAAAAAAAAAAAAAAA